UUCAAAUUAAUUAAAUUUGAUAAGUGAACUAAACUCAGUUUUCAUCAACCUGUUGUGAACACUACUUUUAAAUAAGUAAGUAGUAAUUUGGGGUUGGAGAACUUGCUUAACUUGAUAUAUCCCAGUUAAGUCAAAUUAGAAAAAAUAAUUUAUUGUACCCAGUGUCCUUUGCGCGUUCUAUCAGACAUGCGCAGAUCUGCCCUGCCUACUUUCGCGCUCUUUCCAACACCUUUCUCAUUUAUUUUCGCCAUUGUGGGUUCAUUUGUCCUCAGCACACUGAUUUGGCUGAAGCAAAUGGUCAGAAGUCCACACAUACCUCAGUCUCUGCAAUUACAGGUCAACCAGAGCAGUAUUCUCUAAUGCAGUGGACUUGUAAGUACUGCACAUUUUCUGCUGGAAAGAGAGGCUACUUGCUUAAGCAUUACCGCUUAAAACAUGGAUACCACACUCGGACAUCCCUACUCCCCAUGUCUUCAUAAGGACUGCCUCUGCACAUUUAAAUCUUUUAAUGCACUCAAAGUACACCCACUCUCAAAAAGAUGCAGACAAAAGUGGAGAAACUGCAUUUGACUGUCAGUUGUGCAACUUUGUGGAGCCUUGUUAAGAAGCAGACUUCUUUACCCAUUUGCGAAGACAUCUUAAGCUGAGGCAAAUGGUUACUUGCAUAUAUCAAGACUGUAACUUUCAGAGCACUGUUUAUUCUACCUUCACUGCACACAAAAGCAGAAAUGUGAAAUGAGUUUGAACCAUAGUAUGGGUAGGACAUUUGUGUCUAAAUCAUUCAAUCCCAAUAAAAGUUGCUUCAAUCAAAAAAAAUAUUUUUAAUGAAAGAAAAAGAACCUCUUGCUAAAAUGUUUUUUUGAAAAUAUAUC